rnacentral:rRNA from 1 species
AUUGAACGCUGGCGGCAGGCCUAACACAUGCAAGUCGAGCGAGCGGCGGACGGGUGAGUAAUGUAUGGGGAUCUGCCUGAUGGAGGGGGAUAACUACUGGAAACGGUUGCUAAUUCCGUAUACUUGCGGCUGAGCCCAUAUGGGAUUAGCUAGUAGGUGGGGUAAAGGCUCACCAAGGCGAGGAUCUCUAGCUGGUGUGAGAGGAUUAUCAGCCACACUUGAACUGAGACACGGCCCAGACUCCUACGGGAGGCAGCAGUGGGGAAUAUUGCACAAUGGGCGCAAGCCUGAUGCAGCCAUGCCGCGUGUAUGAAGAAGGCCUUCGGGUUGUAAAGUACUUUCAGCGGGGAGGAGUUACCAGCAGAAGAAGCACCGGCUAACUCCGUGCCAGCAGCCGCGGUAAUAC